rnacentral:rRNA from 2 species
CCUGGCGGCCUUAGCGCGGUGGUCCCACCUGACCCCAUGCCGAACUCAGAAGUGAAACGCCGUAGCGCCGAUGG